UUAUUAUGAGAGUUUGAUCCUGGCUCAGGACGAACGCUGGCGGCGUGCCUAAUACAUGCAAGUCGAACGCUUCUUUCCUCCCGAGUGCUUGCACUCAAUUGGAAAGAGGAGUGGCGGACGGGUGAGUAACACGUGGGUAACCUACCCAUCAGAGGGGGAUAACACUUGGAAACAGGUGCUAAUACCGCAUAACAGUUUAUGCCGCAUGGCAUAAGAGUGAAAGGCG
rnacentral:rRNA from 1 species